UACGAAGGGUGCAAGCGUUAAUCGGAAUUACUGGGCGUAAAGCGUGCGUAGGCGGUUGAUUAAGUCUGAUGUGAAAGCCCCGGGCUCAACCUGGGAAUCGCAUUGGAAACUGGUCGGCUAGAAUGCGGUAGAGGGUGGCGGAAUUCCCGGUGUAGCGGUGAAAUGCGUAGAGAUCGGGAGGAACAUCCGUGGCGAAGGCGGCCACCUGGACCAGCAUUGACGCUGAGGCACGAAAGCGUGGGGAGCAAAC
rnacentral:rRNA from 1 species